GAGAGAUUAAGACCGCAUAACAUAUUGAAGUGGCAUCGCUUUGAUAUCAAAUAUUUAUAGGACUAAGAUGGGCAUGCGCAACAUUAGCUAGUUGGUGUGGUAACGGCAUACCAAGGCGACGAUGUUUAGGGGAUCUGAGAGGAUGACCCCCCACACUGGUACUGAGACACGGACCAGACUCCUACGGGAGGCAGCAGUAAGGAAUAUUGGUCAAUGGACGGAAGUCUGAACCAGCCAUGCCGCGUGCAGGAAGACGGCCCUACGGGUUGUAAACUGCUUUUGCAGGGGAAUAAACCUCGAUACGUGUAUCGAGUUGAAUGUACCUUGAGAAUAAGGAUCGGCUAACUCCGUGCCAGCAGCCGCGGUAAUACGGAGGAUCCAAGCGUUAUCCGGAUUUAUUGGGUUUAAAGGGUGCGUAGGCGGCUUUUUAAGUCAGGGGUGAAAGACGGUAGCUCAACUAUCGCAGUGCCCUUGAUACUGAAGAGCUUGAAUGUACUUGAGGUAGGCGGAAUGUGACAAGUAGCGGUGAAAUGCAUAGAUAUGUCACAGAACACCAAUUGCGAAGGCAGCUUACUAAAGUAUGAUUGACGCUGAGGCACGAAAGCGUGGGGAUCAAACAGGAUUAGAUACCCUGGUAGUCCACGCCCUAAACGAUGAACACUCGAUGUUGGCGAUAUACGGUCAGCGUCUAAGCGAAAGCGUUAAGUGUUCCACCUGGGGAGUACGCCCGCAAGGGUGAAACUCAAAGGAAUUGACGGGGGCCCGCACAAGCGGAGGAGCAUGUGGUUUAAUUCGAUGAUACGCGAGGAACCUUACCCGGGCUUGAAAGUUAGUGAAUGUGACAGAGACGUCACAGUUCUUCGGAACACGAAACUAGGUGCUGCAUGGCUGUCGUCAGCUCGUGCCGUGAGGUGUUGGGUUAAGUCCCGCAACGAGCGCAACCCCUAUGUUUAGUUGCCAGCAUUUAAGGUGGGGACUCUAAACAGACUGCCUAUGCAAAUAGAGAGGAAGGAGGGGACGACGUCAAGUCAUCAUGGCCCUUACGUCCGGGGCUACACACGUGCUACAAUGGAUGGUACAGAGGGCAGCUACCUGGCAACAGGAUGCCAAUCUCUUAAAGCCAUUCACAGUUCGGAUCGGGGUCUGCAACUCGACCCCGUGAAGUUGGAUUCGCUAGUAAU
rnacentral:rRNA from 1 species